UGUAAAUAUGUACAACUAAUAUAGGAGCUGUUGUUAAUUGCCUCGACUCAGCUUAACUUUAUCUUCCUGUUCUUCACAUAAGAUGGCUAUCACCCGAAGGUCGAAAAACAAAAUGAUUUUAAACAGCAAGACGUAAUUGGAAUAGCUAUAUAAGGAUAUAAUGGCAAGUCGAUCUAAGGGUGACGCAAAAAAUGAGCAUGUGGAUUUAGAGUCAAGUUCGGAUGAGGAUUCAAAGAGGAGUGCGGAAGAAGAUAACCGUACAAGGAGGGAUUUGGAUAGAGCGGCAAGUGUGCUUGAGGAUUUCGCGAGUUUGUUGGAGGUAAACAGGAUAAGGCGGCAUUCGG